rnacentral:ncRNA from 1 species
CGGUGGGCGUUACAUUGACGACCCCUCCGGCAGCUUACGGGAAACCAAAGUCUUUGGGUUCCGGGGGAAGUAUGGUUGCAAAGCUGAAACUUAAAGGAAUUGACGGAAGGGCACCACCAGGAGUGGAGCCUGCGGCUUAAUUUGACUCAACACGGGAAAUCUCACCCGGCCCGGACACAGUGAGGAUUGACAGAUUGAGAGCUCUUUCUUGAUUCUGUGGGUGGUGGUGCAUGGCCGUUCUUAGUUGGUGGAGCGAUUUGUCUGGUUAAUUCCGAUAACGAACGAGACUCUGGCUUGCUAAAUAGUUACGCGACCAUCCCGGUCGGCGUUUAACUUCUUAGAGGGACAAGUGGGGUUACACGGGCGAACUUUAAACAAAAUUCCAUCGCUGGAACAUACCGAACUGAGGUAAAAAAUUUUCAAAAUUUUUGAAAAAUUUUCUAAGUUUUUUCCCACUUCCAGUGGUAAGUUAUGCAUUAAAAUUUGUACAUGUGAUGCAAGUCUGACCGUGGUUACACGGGCGAACUUUAAACAAAAUUCCAUCGCUGGAACAUACCGAACUGAGGUAAAAAA